rnacentral:rRNA from 1 species
UACGAAGGGGGCUAGCGUUGCUCGGAAUCACUGGGCGUAAAGCGCACGUAGGCGGCUUCUUAAGUCAGGGGUGAAAUCCUGGAGCUCAACUCCAGAACUGCCUUUGAUACUGAGAAGCUCGAGUCCGGGAGAGGUGAGUGGAACUGCGAGUGUAGAGGUGAAAUUCGUGGAUAUUCGCAAGAACACCAGUGGCGAAGGCGGCUCACUGGCCCGGUACUGACGCUGAGGCGCGAAAGCUAGGGGAGCAAACGGG